GAUGAACGCUGGCGGCGUGCCUAAUACAUGCAAGUCGAGCGAACAGAUGAGAAGCUUGCUUCUCUGAUGUUAGCGGCGGACGGGUGAGUAACACGUGGGUAACCUACCUAUAAGACUGGGAUAACUCCGGGAAACCGGGGCUAAUACCGGAUAAUACUUUGAACCGCAUGGUUCAAUAGUGAAAGACGGUUUCGGCUGUCACUUAUAGAUGGACCCGCGCCGUAUUAGCUAGUUGGUAAGGUAACGGCUUACCAAGGCGACGAUACGUAGCCGACCUGAGAGGGUGAUCGGCCACACUGGAACUGAGACACGGUCCAGACUCCUACGGGAGGCAGCAGUAGGGAAUCUUCCGCAAUGGGCGAAAGCCUGACGGAGCAACGCCGCGUGAGUGAUGAAGGUCUUCGGAUCGUAAAACUCUGUUGUUAGGGAAGAACAAAUUUGUUAGUAACUGAGCAAGUCUUGACGGUACCUAACCAGAAAGCCACGGCUAACUACGUGCCAGCAGCCGCGGUAAUACGUAGGUGGCAAGCGUUAUCCGGAAUUAUUGGGCGUAAAGCGCGCGUAGGCGGUUUCUUAAGUCUGAUGUGAAAGCCCACGGCUCAACCGUGGAGGGUAAUUGGAAACUGGGAAACUUGAGUGCAGAAGAGGAGAGUGGAAUUCCAUGUGUAGCGGUGAAAUGCGCAGAGAUAUGGAGGAACACCAGUGGCGAAGGCGGCUCUCUGGUCUGUAACUGACGCUGAUGUGCGAAAGCGUGGGGAUCAAACAGGAUUAGAUACCCUGGUAGUCCACGCCGUAAACGAUGAGUGCUAAGUGUUAGGGGGUUUCCGCCCCUUAGUGCUGCAGCUAACGCAUUAAGCACUCCGCCUGGGGAGUACGACCGCAAGGUUGAAACUCAAAGGAAUUGACGGGGACCCGCACAAGCGGUGGAGCAUGUGGUUUAAUUCGAAGCAACGCGAAGAACCUUACCAAAUCUUGACAUCCUUUGACCGCUCUAGAGAUAGAGUCUUCCCCUUCGGGGGACAAAGUGACAGGUGGUGCAUGGUUGUCGUCAGCUCGUGUCGUGAGAUGUUGGGUUAAGUCCCGCAACGAGCGCAACCCUUAAGCUUAGUUGCCAUCAUUAAGUUGGGCACUCUAGAUUGACUGCCGGUGACAAACCGGAGGAAGGUGGGGAUGACGUCAAAUCAUCAUGCCCCUUAUGAUUUGGGCUACACACGUGCUACAAUGGAUAAUACAAAGGGCAGCGAAUCCGCGAGGCCAAGCAAAUCCCAUAAAAUUAUUCUCAGUUCGGAUUGUAGUCUGCAACUCGACUACAUGAAGCUGGAAUCGCUAGUAAUCGUAGAUCAGCAUGCUACGGUGAAUACGUUCCCGGGUCU
rnacentral:rRNA from 1 species